UCCUUUCCGUCUGGCGGCAGCCAUCGGGUAAGCCAAGAUGGGUGCAUACAAGUACAUCCAGGAGCUAUGGAGAAAGAAGCAGUCUGAUGUCAUGCGCUUUCUUCUGAGGGUCCGCUGCUGGCAGUACCGCCAGCUCUCUGCUCUCCACAGGGCUCCCCGCCCCACCCGGCCUGAUAAAGCGCACCGACUGGGCUACAAGGCCAAGCAAGGUUACGUUAUAUGUAGAAUUCGUGUUCGCCGUGGUGGCCGAAAACGCCCAGUUCCUAAGGGUGCAACUUACGGCAAGCCUGUCCAUCAUGGUGUUAACCAGCUAAAGUUUGCUCGAAGCCUUCAGUCCGUUGCAGAGGAGCGAGCUGGACGCCACUGUGGGGCUCUGAGAGUCCUGAAUUCUUACUGGGUUGGAGAAGAUUCCACAUACAAAUUUUUUGAGGUUAUCCUCAUUGAUCCAUUCCAUAAAGCUAUCAGAAGAAAUCCUGACACCCAGUGGAUCACCAAACCAGUCCACAAGCAGAGGGAGAUGCGUGGGCUGACAUCUGCAGGCCGAAAGAGCCGUGGCCUUGGAAAAGGCAAGUUCCACCAUACUAUUGGUGGUUCUCGCCGGGCAGCUUGGAGAAAGCGCAAUACUCUCCAGCUCCACUGUUACCACUAA